rnacentral:rRNA from 2 species
GGGGGAAUAUUGCACAAUGGAGGGAACUCUGAUGCAGCGACGCCGCGUGAACGAAGAAGGCUUUCGAGUCGUAAAGUUCUUUUAUAUGGGAAGAUAAUGACGGUACCAUAAGAAAAAGCCCCGGCUAACUACGUGCCAGCAGCCGCGGUAAUACGUAGGGGGCUAGCGUUGUCCGGAAUCACUGGGCGUAAAGGGUUCGCAGGCGGAAAUGCAAGUCAGGUGUAAAAGGCAGUAGCUUAACUACUGUAAGCAUUUGAAACUGCAUAUCUUGAGAAGAGUAGAGGUAAGUGGAAUUUUUAGUGUAGCGGUGAAAUGCGUAGAUAUUAAAAAGAAUACCGGUGGCGAAGGCGACUUACUGGGCUCAUUCUGACGCUGAGGAACGAAAGCGUGGGUAGCAAACAGG